rnacentral:rRNA from 1 species
AGUGAACGCUGGCGGUAGGCCUAACACAUGCAAGUCGAACGGCAGCACAGUAAGAGCUUGCUCUUACGGGUGGCGAGUGGCGGACGGGUGGGGAAUACAUCGGAAUCUACUUUUUCGUGGGGGAUAACGCAGGGAAACUUACGCUAAUACCGCAUACGACCUACGGGUGAAAGCAGGGGAUCUUCGGACCUUGCGCGAUUGAAUGAGCCGAUGUCGGAUUAGCUAGUUGGCGGGGUAAAGGCCCACCAAGGCGACGAUCCGUAGCUGGUCUGAGAGGAUGAUCAGCCACACUGGAACUGAGACACGGUCCAGACUCCUUCGGGAGGCAGCAGUGGGGAAUAUUGGACAAUGGGCGCAAGCCUGAUCCAGCCAUACCGCGUGGGUGAAGAAGGCCUUCGGGUUGUAAAGCCCUUUUGUUGGGAAAGAAAAGCAGCAGGUUAAUACCCCGCUGUUCUGACGGUACCCAAAGAAUAAGCACCGGCUAACUUCGUG